ACAAGCACUGUGUAGUUUCAGAAAUGUGAGAACAGGUUUACCUUUCCAGCAGAUCUGAAGAAGUGUCUGGAGGGGCAGCAGGUGAGAGAUGCGCAGAUACACCGCGAGCACAACAAACACUACAGAGACUGUCCUUCUGCCGCAGAGAGGACACCUAGUGAACACUACUGCAUCAAUACACACUUAAUUCGAAACAAAAGGACUGAUGACUUCAUACGCGGAAAGUUACUUUAACGUUACAGUGCACAUGACUUCUGGACCAUUGGAUCCAGUUCAUCUGGUUCAUCCAGCUCUGCCUAGUAAGAGAUGUGUUUGAACACCCAGUCAACAGAAGCAGAUCUCUGGGACGUGUGGAUAGACAUUCGCUGUAAUCAUGGACAGUCUGGACAAAAUCAUAACCACUACUGGUCACAGUGCAGGAAGCUCCAGGGGGAGACUGUACUGGUAUCCCCCUUCUUCAGGCGCGCUUCACACACACUCCAGCAUUCACUCAUAUCACAGAGACCUGGCUGGGAUCAAACCAGCAACCUCUGAACCCGUGAGGCAGCGCUCUUACCUGUGAGCCACAGGUCUCUUGUUUGAACUUGUAGAGGAACUUUUAUUUCACAGUUAUCCUGUGCUGCUGCUGCUGUUGAAAUAAAUAAUUUAAAGCUCUCAGUUGUGUGGGAUUUGAACCCAUGCCUCUACCACAGGCUUGUGCACAAAAGAACAUGUGAUAAUCACUAGUGCCACCGUGGCUCUCACACUGAGUGUUGGCACUUGGGGCAGUUUGUUGGAUAUAAUGGAAACAAGUUAACAUAAGCACUAGCUGGGUUUGAACCCAGCACCUUCUGCACCCAUGUAGCAGCACUAUAACCCGUGAGCCACAGGUCUCUUGUUUGAAUUGGUGGAGGAACUUAUAUUUCACUGGUAUCCUGUUUUUUUUUUUUUUUUCAAUAAACAAGUUAAAGCAUUCAGUUGUGGUGGUAUUUGAGCCCAUGUCUCUACCACAUUCUUGCGCACAGACAACACGUGUUAGUCACUAGUACCACUGUCUCUCACUGUGAGUAUUAGCAUUUGAGAAACUUGGUUGGAUAUAAUUUUAACAAUUUAACAUAAGCAACAGCAGGACUUGAACUCAGCACCUUCUACAACCAUGAGGCAGUGCUUUUACCUGUGAGCCACAGAUUCUGUGUUGAGUCAUGUACAAGAAUUUAUAUUUCACUGUUAACCUGUAUGUGACAAUAAACUAAAUAACCAGCAAGUAUUACAAUUAACUGAGGUGGGAUCUGAACCCAUGUUUCCAUCACACAAAGAACAUGAUUGCCCACUAGCCCAUCACAGCUUGCCUGUAGAGGACUGGAAUUUGAGUGACUUUGUUGGAUUUAAUGACAACAAUUUAACAAGCAAUGGUGGGAUUUAAACUUAAGGUGCCACAAUUAAAACACAACACACUAUCACCUGAGCCACUGAAGUUAAAAAAUGUUUCCUCCUUUGGUGAUUUUUGUGAAUUACACCGCUGCAAAUCCAGUCUAAUGAGCCAAAAUGGGUUGCAGCACCACAUAUAACAGCCUCUGUGGUUCAGUGGAUGAUCACUUGUCUUUCAUAUGUGAAAAUCUGGGUUCAAACCCAGCAAUUGCUGAACUUACUAUUUAUAUUACAACACAGUUCUCAAUGAAACCCCAUGUAAACUAAACUCAGUCCUUCAGGCUCUGUAGCUCAGUUGAUAAAGCACUGCAGUUUAAUCAUGGAUAACUUGGUUCAAAUCCCAUUAUUGCUUAUGAUAAAUUGCUCAUGUUAAAUACAUCAAAGUGUCCCAAAAGUCAGUAGUUGGUUUGAAAACCAUGAUGGCACUAGUGGCUAAACACACACUGGUUGUACACAAGACUAUGAUUAAAACAUGGCUUUGAAUCCUACCUCGGUGUGUGGCGAUCACUCCACAGGAAAAAACGUUUUGACAACAGUGCACUACCAAAUAAUGGAGCAGGAUGGUAAAAGUGGAGGACUCUGGGGUAAUAAAACAGUAUGGUCAUUGUUUUUGUAUUCUUUGUGCACAAAAAGUAUUCUCAUAGCUUCGUAAUAUAGCCCUGAUGUCACAUGGACUGUUUUAAUGAUGUCCUUACUGCGUUUCUGGGCCUGGGAACAUUUCAGUUGCAUUGUUGUCCAUGCAAGGUCAGAAAGCCCUCAGAUUUCAUCAACAAUAUCUUAAUUAGUGUUAUGAAGAUGAAUCAAGGGCUUACAGGUUGGGAGCACAGAGGGUUGGAACGACAUGAGGGUGAGUAAUUAAUGAGAGAAUUUUCAUUUUUACUUGAACUAACCUUUUAACUUUAUAAGGUGAGACCUAUCCCUUAAAAAGGGAUGAUAUGAGCCAAUGAUUUUACCCUUUUUUUUCUUAAGGGAA